rnacentral:rRNA from 1 species
AUAGACCGUACCCGAAACCGACACAGGUGGACAGGUAGAGUAUACCAAGGCGCUUGAGAGAACUAUGUUGAAGGAACUCGGCAAAAUACCUCCGUAAGUUCGCGAGAAGGAGGCCCCGUCAGGACGCAAGUCUUGGCGGGGGGCACAAACCAGGGGGUGGCGACUGUUUACUAAAAACACAGGGCUCUGCGAAGUCGCAAGACGACGUAUAGGGUCUGACGCCUGCCCGGUGCCUGAAGGUUAAAAGGAGAGGUGAGAGCCUUGAAUUGAAGCCCAGGUAAACGGCGGCCGUAACUAUAACGGUCCUAAGGU